rnacentral:rRNA from 1 species
CCACGCCGUAAAACACCCAACUUCUGAACGUUGACCUCGAAUCAGGUAGGACUACCCGCUGAACUUAAGCAUAUCAAUAAGCGGAGGA